rnacentral:rRNA from 1 species
GACGAAGGGGGCUAGCGUUGUUCGGAUUUACUGGGCGUAAAGCGCACGUAGGCGGAUCGAUCAGUCAGGGGUGAAAUCCCAGAGCUCAACUCUGGAACUGCCUUUGAUACUGUCGAUCUGGAGUAUGGAAGAGGUGAGUGGAAUUCCGAGUGUAGAGGUGAAAUUCGUAGAUAUUCGGAGGAACACCAGUGGCGAAGGCGGCUCACUGGUCCAUUACUGACGCUGAGGUGCGAAAGCGUGGGGAGCAAACAGG